GACGAACGCUGGCGGCGUGCCUAAUACAUGCAAGUAGAACGCUGAAGCGAGGAGCUUGCUCUUCUUGGAUGAGUUGCGAACGGGCGAGUAACGCGUAGGUAACCUGCCUGGUAGCGGGGGAUGACUAUUGGAAACGAUAGCUAAUACCGCAUAAAAUUGAUUAUUGCAUGAUACUGAAUUGCAAGAUACAACUGCAUCACUACCAGAUGGACCUGCGCUGUAUUAGCUAGUUGGUGAGGUAACGGCUCACCAAGGCGACGAUACAUAGCCGGUCUGAGAGGAUGAUCGGCCACACUGGAACUGAGACACGGCCCAGACUCCUACGGGAGGCAGCAGUAGGGAAUAUUCGGCAAUGGGCGCAAGCCUGACGCAGCCACACCGCGUGAGUGAAGAAGGUCUUCGGGUCGUAAAACUCUGUUAUUAGGAAAGAAAAGCAGCAUGUUUAACUCUCCCCGUCUUGACGGUACCUAAUCAGUAAGCAACGGCUAACUACGUG
rnacentral:rRNA from 1 species